rnacentral:tRNA from 1 species
AGGGACUUAGGAUAAAUAGACCAAGGGCCUUCAAAGCCCUAAGCAAGGGUGAAACCCCCUUAGUCUCUG